AACCGUGCCGAAGACAGUAGGUGCCGCAAGGCGUAAAGAAUUAUCACCUACCGAGGAAAGAGUUGACGUUAAGACUUUUUGCCUUCCUGUCUUCAGGGAGGCUUUUCUUAUAU
rnacentral:sRNA from 1 species